GGACGUUCCGGGGAGCAAACGCCGGAAGCGCCUUUCGACUCGGCCGGGCGUCGGGAAGGAGUCGCGCGCGAUGGGCCGCAGCCGCUCCCGGUCGCCUCCGCGGAGGGAACGCCGGCGUUCCAGAUCCACCUCACGUGAAAGAGAGAGGAGGAGACGGGAGCGAUCAAGAUCUCGAGAGAGAGACAGAAGGAGAAGUCGUUCUCGUUCUCCACACAGACGAAGAUCUAGAUCUCCUCGGCGGCAUAGAUCCAAUUCUGCUUCCCCUUCCCGGCAGAAAGAAAGGCGAGAGGAUGAGAAGAAGGACAGCAAAGACAAAGAGCAUCAAAUCACAGAAGAAGACCUGGAAGGCAAAACAGAAGAAGAAAUUGAAAUGAUGAAAAUGAUGGGAUUUGGCUCAUUUGACACCACAAAGGGCAAGAAAGUGGAUGGGUCUGUAAACGCUUAUGCUGUCAACGUGUCCCAGAAACGGAAAUACAGAAAUGCAGCCCCAAACGUUCAAGGAACCUCCACCAUGCUUCACUGCUGCCUGCAAGACACUCAUUAUUGUACUGCUCUCCAGCCCUUUGAUGAACAAACUGCCUUCUGCUACAGCCAAAUAUUUCAAAUUUUGACUCCUCAGUCCAGAGCACCUGCUGCCAUUUUUCUGCACCUCAGUUCCUAUGUUUUCGUGCAUAUUUUAGUCACUUGGCCUUGUUCCCACGUCAGAGGUAUGGCUUUUUGACUGCAACUCUUCCAUGAAGACCACUUCUAGCCAGACUUCUCCAGUAGAUGGGUGUACCUGGGUCCCACUGGUUUCUGCCAGUUCUGAGCUGAUGGCACUGCUGGACAUCUUCCAAUUUUGAAGGGCAGUACAUGAACAGAAAAGGUGGAUUCAAUAGGCCCCUGGACUUUAUUGCCUGAUGUGUCUGCAGCUGUUACCGAUAAAAAAACUCCACCGAAGUCUCAUCUGUCUGGCUAAGAGGUUCUAUCUUCUCACCCAAAAAGAGUUAGGGUCUUUGUGAAUAAUUCUUUGAAGUUACAUUUCCUAGGUUGAAAUGGUAUUUUCCCCCCUCUCAAAUGUAUCUUUUGCACAGAGUGGUUUUUCUGAUGUUGUUAUUCCACGUUUAUAGGUUUCCUCUUUUAAAUAUUGUCAAUUAAAUUAAAAAGAAACAUCUUGUUUCCUUGAGUAAAAUUGAACUAGAGUAGACCAACUUUUCCAAAAGACAGAAUCAAAAAUUGAUUGGUAAUGCUUGGUUCCUGAAAUAUGUUGUUUACAUAACUUUAUUUUUCCAUUGCUGAAUUCCUUUUUAAACUGUACCCAGAAGACAAUUGGUUCUUAGCACAAUGGGAUUUAAUUCCCUUAUUCCUUUGCUGCUUCAGCCACAUAAUGUAUUUUAAAUCCCUGCUCUCUGUCCAGCAGGGGGCACUUAAACCAGCAAAAUGGUUCCUUUGUUUGCUUGCAUUAUACCCUUGAAUUCUUCCAGAUUCACUGGCAUUGUUUGGGAUAUUUGAUUUGCAUAAUUACAUCACCUGUGUGCUCAGUGCAGAAUUUAAGAACAAUUAUCAAAAUCCAGCAGCACUGCUGUUACCCUGAAAGGUUUGUAACUGGGGUGGGAAUGGGCUGGGGUGAUUUGCAAACCACUAUUUAGCUUAUGGUAUACAAUAUCAGGGAAAUCCACACCUGCUAGACACACAAUGUAGUCCUUGGUGCACCACAUGGGGCAAAGUAGCUUACACCAGCUGAUUUGCAGAUUAUGGACUCCGGGUGUAGUGCAUACCACUAUAUUUCAAUCCAGACAGAAGCUAUGCAGAAGAACUUCCCAGUGCUUGUGUCAUGGUGAGGGAUCUGGGUGUGUUGUUGACAAGAGAAUAUGGAUGUAUUUUUUUCUUCAAAGGCAUAAUCAAAAUUUAUCCUUGAUGCUGCAGUUGCAAGCAUACUCAGUAGGGAGUAUGGAACAGGUUAGAACUCUGGGUAGAAAUGGGGUUUCUUUGUUGUGCUGUUAUUGAAUAGUAUGUUUGCUUCACUAAUUAAUUCAGCAGAGGUAUAAUCCAGAUUAAAAUAAAAUGCUUAGCUUCCUUUGA